GAACCCAGCAUCACUCAAGCUUUCAAUUUUAGUUGAGUUUCUUGGCAUAAAGAUCAUCAUACUCAAAUGGCACAUUCCGAGCUUCAAUUGCACGAACAACGGGACGGUACUCACUAUCUAACCCUUUUAGAAUAUCAUUAACGAGAGUUUCAUCAGACACAGGUUCUUGAAGAGCUGCUAGCUGAUCGGCGAUUGUCCUGGCUUGCUGCAUGUAACUGUCAAU
rnacentral:misc_RNA from 1 species